rnacentral:rRNA from 1 species
UACGGGAGGAUCCAAGCGUUAUCCGGAAUCAUUGGGUUUAAAGGGUCCGUAGGCGGCCCAGUAAGUCAGUGGUGAAAUCUCCCGGCUCAACCGGGAAAUUGCCAUUGAUACUGCUGGGCUUGAAUUACCAGGAAGUAACUGAGAAUAUGUAGUGUAGCGGUGAAAUGCUUAGAGAUUACAUGGAAUACCAAUUGCGGAAGGCAGGUUACUACUGGUGGAUUGACGCUGAUGGACGAAAGCGUGGGUAGCGGAACAGG